rnacentral:rRNA from 1 species
GGAAGGAGAAGUCGUAACAAGGUUUCCGUAGGUGAACCUGCGGAAGGAUCAUUGUCGUGACCCUGACCAAAACAGACCGUGAACGYGUCAUCUUGCCUGCCAGCGGCGGCCCUGNCCGUCGCUUGGCCAAAGUCCUCGAUAACCUCCUCUCCUCGGAGCGGGGGCUCGGGGUAAAAGAACCCACGGCGCCGAAGGCGUCAAGGAACACUGUGCCUAACCCGGGGAAGCGGCUGGCUUGCUAGCUGCCCCUCGUGUUGCAAUGCUAUUUAAUCCACACGACUCUCGGCAACNGGAUAUCUCGGCUCUCGCAUCGAUGAAGNAACGUAGCGAAAUGCGAUACCUGGUGUGNAAUUGCAGAAUCCCGCGAACCAUCGAGUCUUUGAACGCAAGUUGCGCCCGAGGCCACUUGGCCGAGGGCACGCCUGCCUGGGCGUCACGCCAAACACGCUCCCACCCCUCAUCGGGUGGUGGGAUGCGGCAUGUGGCUCCCCGUCUUGCAAGGGGCGGUGGGCCGAAGAUGCGGCUGCCGGCGUAUCGUGCCGGACACAGCGCGUGGUGGGCGAACUCGCUUUACUUACCGCAGUGCAUCCGGCCCAUAGCCGACGUGAUGGCCUUAAGGACCCUAUGAACGGAGCGCAUGACGCUCCGACCGCGACCCCAGGU